GAGGGAGCCCCUCCCUCUAAAAGCACUCUGUGUGGGGAAGAUGAGAGCCAGAGCAAAGCUCAGAGGAACCAACCUGGACCUGGAUCUGGAUCUGGAUCUGGAUCUGGAUCCAGCUGUGUGUCCUUCAGAAGUGAUGAAUCAAAGGAUUUACCUCCUCUCUUCAAGUCCAUCAGUUCACGAGUGGAACAGUUCCAACAGAGAUCUGGAUCCAGCUUUGUGUCCAAAAGGAGUGAUCACUCAAAGAAAAUUCUACCUCCUCACUUCAAGUCAAUCAGUUCACGAGUAAAACAGUAAGUGUUUGUAAAAAACAUGCUAUAAAUUGAACAGAAAUAAAUGUAUGCAGUGUCACAGUUGUCAGAACAGUUUUAACUGAUCAGUUUGUUCAUGAUCUGAGUUCAAUAGUUUAGACAUGAAAAAUAAUCUGACGAACCUCCAUAACAAAAUAAAUUAGAUUAAAAAAAAAAACAAAUGUUUUUCUACUGAGAAUCCAACUGAGAUCUGGAUCUGGAUCCAGCUGUGUGUCCAACAGGAGUGACAGAUCAAAGGGUCUUAAUCCAGACUUCAAGUCCAUCA